rnacentral:rRNA from 1 species
CAGUAGCCGCGGUAAUACGGAGGGAGCUAGCGUUAUUCGGAAUUACUGGGCGUAAAGCGCACGUAGGCGGCUUUGUAAGUAAGAGGUGAAAGCCCGGGGCUCAACCCCGGAAUUGCCUUUUAGACUGCAUCGCUUGAAUCAUGGAGAGGUCAGUGGAAUUCCGAGUGUAGAGGUGAAAUUCGUAGAUAUUCGGAAGAACACCAGUGGCGAAGGCGGCUGACUGGACAUGUAUUGACGCUGAGGUGCGAAAGCGUGGGGAGCAAACAGGAUUAGAUACCCCCGUAGUCCCUGUCUCUUAUAC